CAGAUGUGUAAACAGCAACAGCACGCGUCUUACAGGAGAUGUCUGAGGAUCCUAUCCACCUGGACGUUGUUUGAAGAGAUCAUAAAGCACACCCACUUCCAAAUAACCUCUGAUGAGACGGGAAAGCAAGUCUGAUACAGCGAAGAGGUGGCGCAGCGUGAUACUGCUGGAUCAAAGAUCUGUGCUGACAGAGCUGACACCUGAAGACUGUGCCGCCCGGAGGUGUUGGAGAAUACGGUGCAAGAUGGACCGGUGUCACCGGGGCAGAGGUUUGCGCUGGACCAGCGGAUCCCUUCGGUCAUUAAUCAUCGGACCGGACAGCCACAGACGAGCUUCUCGGGACUGGACAGGUCUGUGCAACUGGAUUGCAACCUGUCCUUGACCUUAUCUGUGCUUCUUUCAAUUUCUUAUUCUUAAGAUUACUGAUUGUAUUUUUUUGAAAUUCAGUACAUCUUU